AAUUAAUGAACUUGUUAAAAGUAUAUAUUUUGAAAAUAUAAAAAAGAGAUUAAAAUUCUCUAUUAAUUU
rnacentral:tRNA from 1 species